AUUGAACGCUGGCGGCAGGCUUAACACAUGCAAGUCGAGCGGUAACAGGGGAGCUUGCUCCUGCUGACGAGCGGCGGACGGGUGAGUAACGCGUAGGAAUCUGCCUGGUAGUGGGGGGACAACACGGGGAAACUCGUGCUAAUACCGCAUACGCCCUGAGGGGGAAAGCGGGGGAUCUUCGGACCUCGCGCUAUCAGAUGAGCCUGCGUAGGAUUAGCUUGUUGGUGAGGUAAAGGCUCACCAAGGCGACGAUCCUUAGCUGGCCUGAGAGGAUGACCAGCCACACCGGAACUGAGACACGGUCCGGACUCCUACGGGAGGCAGCAGUGGGGAAUAUUGGACAAUGGGGGCAACCCUGAUCCAGCCAUGCCGCGUGUGUGAAGAAGGCCUCGGUUGUAAGACACUUAAGUCGAGGAGGAGGCGUAC
rnacentral:rRNA from 1 species